AGAGAAUCGCCUCUGCGAAAACAUAUUGUGCUGAACUCCUGGGAGCUCUCUUUGGGUUGAUGAACAUCAAGCAAGAGGGAAAAGCAUUGGAAAGUAGGAUGAUAAGAUCUGCCACUAAAGAAGCACAAAGUCAGCACCGUCUGGGUAAAGACCAAGAUAAUCAAACAAGUAUUUGAUGAGACCUAUCAGAAUCCAGCAGCCACCACAGGGAUGGCCAACCUAUGGUGCAUUGGAUGAUUAGAAGUGGCGCAUUGCACCCCAGUGCUAAUAAAAAAGAAUAUUCGAUUAAGAAAAAGGAAGAAAUCAAAAGACAAAAUAUAUUUGUUAAAAGUUUCAUUAAGGACUGGUCACCACACACCCGAGACUUUGCAGGGGUUUACCAAAGUGGGUGCCAAAAACCCAUGUUUGGAUUACGAAAUGUCAGUCGCCUCCAAAACGCGCAGCGUUAUCGACUACCUUCUGGGUUCGAUCGAAGCUUGCACUCUUCGCUCACUAACGACUCUUCAUCAAAGUGGGUGCGUCUCCUGAGCAAUCUGCGUGGCUGCUUUUAUACUGUUGGGAUAGGUCAUCGCGUGACAAUACAAGAAACAAAGUCACAGAUUCCCAGUACAUCAUGUACCAUGCCAGGUGUUGAAAUUAGGAUUCAUAACGUACAGAUUCCCAGUACGUUAUGUACCAUCCCAGGUGUUCAAACUGGGGUUCAUAACGUAGCUGAUAAGGUUAAAUUGGAUUGGGUUUCAGUAAUUUAUUCAGCAUAGUAACAGGCCCUUCUGGCCCAACGAGCUCAUGUUGCCUAUUAGACCCAUGUGACCAAUUAACCGACAUUAUGAUAACUGAUACAUUGUCCUUGCCACCCCUAACUUCUCUCCUUUUGCCCAGAUAGAAGUAGCAUAUUGUAAAGCUGCCAUGGCUUUUGUGAAUAAUAUAAAUAAGUAAUAUAAAUAAAAUCAUUAUGGACUCUUAUAUUAUAACAGAGCUGGUCAUUAAGGAAAUUCCACAGGACUACACAGUUGAACAUAAAACCAGAGGAAACAAUGGAUCAUAAGUAACAUGGGAAAUAUUGACAGCAGUCUAGGUCCCAAAGUUACAAGCUCAUUUAUUGACUCUUUUAAAUAAGAGAGCAAGCUGAUUGCAGCAACCAGCUUUUACACAACAACAUGAAGGUCAUUGGAAAAAAGCAAUGUUAGUGGUGAUUUGUAAGCAGACUGCAAUCCUUUCUUCAGAGGCAGAUUAUAGCAACCUAAAUUUUAAGGGUGUCAAUCGCAAAAGCUGCCAUCAUUGGGGUCCAGUGUGGACAAGAAUUUCUAAUGCCGAAUUUCUGAUGUCAAUCAGAUCUCAGUGUAUCACACAUACUUCCACGGCUGCAGGCUACCGUCUUUUCAUUGUCUAACUACCUAAUCUCAUGGUGGAUUCACCUUUCAUAUUAAUAGUUAAACUGUGGAGCCAACAGAUAAAAAGUGAAAGAUCUCCUAGCACUAUUUUAAAAAGGGUUAAUCUCACUAUGCCCAACCCACCAGCUCUCCACUCAAAUCCAGAUAGUCUUUUAUUUAUUCCUCAAUCAUUUCGGAAAUAAAAUGGUAAAUUAGUUGGCCAUGGUCACUUUACCAUUUGUGGGAGCUUUUUGUGCCUAAACUGGGUGGUGCACUUCUUCCUUCAUUGGCUGUGAAGUUCUUUGAGGUGAUCAUGGGCAUUACAGAAAUCUAACUCUUUAUUUCAAUGAUAAGACAAAAUAUGGAAACAAUAAAAGUAAAAAUAAUUAGGAAAUUGUAACAGCCAACCAGAAUAAUUUCAUUAGGCAAAGGGUAGUGAAUCUAUGGAAAUCAUUGCCACAGACAGCUGUGGAGACCAAGUCAUUAAGUAUACAGUGGAUUCCUGUUAAUUGGGACACAUCAGGACCAAUAUAUUUUGCCCCAGUUAGCUGAAGUUUCAUGCAAAUAGUUAAAAAGGUAUUUUUAAAAAAAGAACAAAUUGGAACACUACCAAAACUACUACAGUACAAUAAAACUGUAUUUGUUCCUAAUAGUUAUUGACAGAGGAAUUAAUCCUGUGGACACUGCCGUGUUCUUUUGGUUGACUGUAAAUGAACACAAUCAGCCCAAACACCUAGUGGUGAUAGUGGUAUGCCUUCAUACAAUGCUUUCGAUGAUUGAAUCCUCCGAAUUUUCAUUUCUGUUGUAACAUUCAAGAUGAAUGUUGCUACCUUCAAACUGCUCAAAGUUCCUAACUUGUUGAGGUAGUGGAAUCAUUUCCAUUUCACUCCCAGCUGCUUCCAGCAUCUCCAAGCCUGAAUGCUUGAAACCACAGUGAGCAAAUCAGUUCUGAAUUGUCUUACUGCUUAUUACUUGCCAGCUAUCAGCGACAAAAAUCAUUGCCUUUUGAACACAAGCACACGCAAAUGGUACUAUUUAAAAACUGUUCGUUCUAAACACGGUAUAGUGUCCAGUGGCCACACGAUGUGUACGUGACUGAUAAGUUUCCUGUCCCAAGUAAACGAAGGGAAUCCUGACUAUUUUCUCGAAAUGUCUUGUUCUUAAAGAGUUGUCCCAAAUAAACAACUGUUCCAAUUAACCAGAAUUUCUGUAUUAAAAACAGAGAUUGAUAGGCUCUUGAUUAGAAAGAGUGUUAAAUGUUAUGGGUGAAGGCAGGAGAAUGGGAUUGAGAGGGAUAAUAAAUCAGACAUGAUGGAAUGGCAGAGCAGACUCGGUGGGCCAAAUGGCCUAAUUCUGCUCCUAUACCUUAAGUUCUAAUAGUGCCAGUUUAAGUCCUUGGGUGAUUAGUGUCUCUGCUGGUUUCCCUAAGCAGAUCAAAUCCCAUAAACUAAGCUCUGACUUUAUUCCUCAAUGUCUACAACACUCGUUAUAGCUAUCUUGUGGCUCGGCAACCAAACCAGUAUACAAUAUACAAUAAACAAGGCAUGUUCUGACCAAAGCCUAGUAAAAUUUAAUCACACUUUCGGUCUUAAUGUAUUGUUUUGCCUGUGUUUAUUUAAGCGUUAUUGACACUGAUGAUGGCAGAUCAUACUAAUUGGAGAUGUACAGCAGUGACUAGACAAAGAUCAGGAUAGUUUCUUUAGGCAUUGUCUGUGGCUGUUUGGACAGUACUCAUAGAGUCUGUAUGUCAACUAUUUUCUACUGUGUGAGUGCAGCUCCAGCUGUUCUAAAGCUGGCUCCUAUCCCAAGCUUGAGAGGCAUGCCUACCAGUCAGAUGAAGAGCACUGCUCACAAGGAGGCUUCAUUACUUUCACUUGGAACACGGUAUCUUGGCACAGCAGCCAGCAAGAGGGAAAGGAGGCAGAACUUAUAAAACAGUAUUGUUCUAUACGAGGCAGGCAAAGUCCGAUUACAAACAGCCGACUAGGUCAUACAGUUUUACUCAUAUAUCAGCAUUUAGGACGGCUUAUGGAGAUUAAAAUGUGAAUGGAAGAGAUCACCUUAGCACUGUUUUCAUUUAAUUUGAUACGCCUCAUAUCCUGCACUGCCACCCAAUACCCAUGAUUCGGAAUUUAGUCUUUCAUGCUUGUGCCACGUUCAACAACUAUUUCCAAUUAUUAAGCAAAAACCUUAAGCAAGCAAAAUGUCGCCAGACAGUUCAUAUGAGCACUACCAAACAAAAUUUCAUUUUAACAAUGUAAAGGGAAUUAAGACAAAGAAUAAUUCAAGGCUAGAGAAAACCUUCAUCACUGGAGAUCAAGCCAAGAAUGAAAAGGCGGAAGUGAAGUGGGGAUGGGAUUAGUGUAACUACCUCUGCUAUUUGCAAGUUUACCAAGUUGGGAUGAUUUGAGACAAGGAAGAGUCUUAGAACAGAUUUUGUUUUUGCACACUGACCGUCCUUGUCCUUCUAGGUGGUGGACCUUGAAGGUCAAGAACAUGCUGCUACAAUUUCUGAGGUGCUGAAGUGUUAAGUUACUUGUCCAUUUUUGGGCAACUACACUUUAAUAGCAUCCAGACUCAGGGAUAAAUACCAACAUGAUAAUUGUGGUAACAGUAUGGUUGGUGCAGCUGGACCCCAGCAAGGAUGAGCACCUUAUGUAAAGGAUGUAGACCAACAGGGAAGAAAAUAAUCCAGGUCCUGAAGCUAUAAUGGGUAAAUCAGGGCAUAGAAAGAAUUCCAAUUAAAGCCACACAGAUGUUUGUGCACAUUUCUAUUAGGAGUAUUUAGAAUUCAGGAGGGUCUCCUUGUUCACUUUCUGAAAUCAGAACUCGACAAAGAAUCAGAUGUCAGUGAUUGUUCUCACUCAAGCUGUAAUUGUCACUAGCCAGCUCUUCCAGUGAGACUUGAUUCUCCGCAAUUUGAUGAAGGUUUAAGCGCAGUCUUUUAAGUCUUGAGGUAGGAUCUAUUUGCUACAAACACAAUCUAGUAAUUAUGCUUCAGCAAACUGUGCUUCCUGUUGUGAUUGAAAUAGAUGAGAACCUCAGAAAACUUUAUGCUCAUUGAAACAGUGCUCACCAAGCUUCAUUUAUGGGCUCACCUUGUAAAAUUCCAGGACCUGGCCAUGAUGAUGCAACCUGGGGGACCCGAACGCAGUUCAAAGUAAAUCUAUUAUCAAAGUAUAUAUGAUACCUUGAGAUUCAUUUUCUUGCCAGCGUUCACAGUAGAACAAAGAAAUACAAUAGAAUCAAGGAAAAAAAUUACAUACAAAGACAAGCAGCCAACGUGCAAAAGAAAGCAAACUAUACAAAUACAAAAUAAUAACAAUGAAUAAGUAAAUAAAUAAAUAAUACUGAGAACAUGAGUUGUAGAGUCCCUGCAAGUGAUUCCAUAGAUUGUAGUCAGUGAUCAGUUCAGUGUUAAGGUGAGUGAAGUUAUCCAUGCUGGUUCAGGAGCCUGACGGUUGAAGGGUAAUAACUAUUCCUGAACCUGGUGGUGUGGGAUCUAAGGCUUCUGUACUUCCUUCCUGGUGGCAGCAAUAAGAGAACAUGGCCUCGAUAGUGGGUGUCUUGAUGAUGGAUGCUGCUUUCUUGUGGCAGUGCUCCUCGUCACUGGUGGGGAAGGUUUUUCCUGUGAAAGACUUUUUGAACUGCAGUCAUUGUUGUGAGAUAAGGUGUCUGCUAAUUUAAGCACAGCAGGGUUUCACAAAUAUUAAAGAAAUGAUGAUGGGUCAACUGCUGGGGGUUAAUGAUUGUCAUAACACCCUGGCUUUUCCUCAGAACAUUUAUAUUCAGUUAAGGGAGCAGUGGAGCCUAGGUUUAAUGUCUCAUGGGGAAAUUGGCACUGCCAUUGCACUAUACCAGGAGUAACAGGCUAGACUAUGUGCUCAACUCUCUGGGAAGCUACUUGUCUGAUAAUUUUCUGUCACAGGAAUAAAUGGAUGUUAAUUGUUUUGCUGCCUGGAGCACAAUAAAGAUGCAGGGAGGAGCAAAAUAGAAUCAGAAUCAGGUUUAAUAUCAAUGGCAUAUGUCAUAGAAUUUGUUAACUUUGUGGCAGCUGUACAAUGAAAUACAUGAUAAAUAUAGGGAAAGACUGAAUUACAGUAAGUAUAUACAUGUAUAUUAAAUAGUUACAUUAAAAUAAGUAGUGCAAAAACAGAAAUGAAUAAGUAGUGAGGUAGUGUUCAUGAGUUCAAUGUCCAUUUAGGAAUCGGAUGGCAGAGGUGAAGCUGUUCCUGAAUUGUUGAGUGUGUGUCCUCAGGCUCCUGUACCUCCUCCCUGAUGGUGGCAAUACAAGGACAUGUCCUGAGUGAUGGUGGUCCUUAAUAACGGAUGCCAUUCAGCACUUUUAGCCUGUUCCCCACGCAUAUCUGAUCUAUGUUUCACCUCUAUGCAUCUAUCUUGCUUCCUUAACAACUGUGCAUCUGAUGCAUUUUGAACAGAGAAGGCUCAAGAGGUAAGAUUCAGGGGAAUACAUGAGUGCACUGAAAAUGAGAAAGCCUGUGAUAAAGAAACAUAGCAUCUGGAGAACAAGCUAUGCCAUGCAUCCAGCCCUGGAAUGUACUGGAGCGGCGGCUGCCUCAGCCAUGGGCUUGUUAUGUUUUAUGCAUAAACUUUACUUACAAAGCGGGUUCAGGUUGGCAAUUUAUCAUCAUUACUGCAGUGAUGGAAUGAGAGUGGGGGGCGGUUCUGAGGUUUUUAAGAUUUGGGAUGACUAAUAAAUAACAUCAAUGCAUACUGCUGGCAAAGUCUGCUGUUCAUUAUAUCCAUAGACUGCAUUGCCCAGGGACUGUAGAUCACCAUUAGCAGAGAGGCCAAAUUGCUCAAGUGACAGCUGUAUUUUUAGCCAUUUUGAAGAAAAAACAAAAUGACUUUUUUUGCCUCUUGUAGAGAGCAGAGAUCAUUUUCUGACUCCCUGCUUAGAGUACUGUAAUGCAUUGCGAUGUGCAGAAUAACCAGCCAGAGCUUCAUCACUUCUCCCGAGCAAUGGCUUCAAAGUGCAGGCAUCAAAGAGAAGUCAGCAGCUCUCGCUUGGCAAGUGGGAAAGGGUUCUGAGCAGAAACAGGCAGGGGUCACCAUAGCAAGUUCUUGAUAUCGCCUGAUUAACCCUGAGCAGGAUCCAUCCCACUAACUCACCUGGAAUUAAAGAUUAAUCCGCCAGAAACUCAUGCAAAUAAAACCCUGGAGAAUAACUGAGGGGGUGGGUGGUGUUUUUAAAUGCAAUUUAUGUAAUUCUUUUAUUCCACUUGAACAAUUACUUUACUAGUUUUUAAAAUAUUGGUGGUUCAAGAGGGAGAGGGGGUGCUGUAUGACUUUGGGAUAUCUUGAAGGUGGCAUUUUGGAUAGAUGAUAGAUUAGUUGGCAAGAACUUCUAGACUCUGUGCAACCAAAGGGAAGAAUGUGGGACAAUGCAGUUGGCAGUGAGGGGUCAUGCAAGGAAACCUUCAGUUUGACGUCCAAUCAGUUUUUAAAACUUUCAAAGGACACUGGGCUGUCAGAAGAGACAUCAUUUGGAGAAGGAAUUAAAUCAAAUCCCCAUUUGCUCCUAAGUGGAUAUAAAAAAAAUCCUGUGGCAGAGUUUUUGCAGUCAGGUAUAUUUUGCAGUGGCCUGACAAACAGUUGCCCUUUCAACCAGAACUACUCC